rnacentral:lncRNA from 1 species
AUCUACACUUUUCCUUAUUUCAAAUAUUUUGCUCUCCCAAUAACAGUUCCAUCCUCUUCUUAUUUCCUUAUCAAAUUAUCAAAUUCAAAUUGACCCAUUUCAAAAUUUCCUCUUAAACCCAAAACCCAUCUCUUAAAAUCUCUUUUUCUGUUCUUGUUCUUCAUGAAGCCUCAAUUUUCAUGGUAGGAACCAUUUUUUAAAUAAAAAGAGAGAAGCCCAUUUUGGAAAGGACUUGAUUUGAUUGGGAAGUUUUUAAUCUAUUUUCAUCAAUUAUUAGGAGGUUGUAUUGUUCUUGUAAUUGUUGUGUAAAACUUGAUUGCUUGCAUAAUGCAAUUCUAACUAUCUAUCUUUUACUUGAUCUUUUGUUUCAGGUGGAGAUUGAAUGGUAGAAAGUUUAAUUUUUCGGCCGAGUAUCUAAGAAUACUAAAUCCAAUUGCUGAUGGCAACAUUACGUUAGCAGAGAUGAAAAUGUAGAAAUUCAAUGUUUUUAUGUAUUCUCAAAAUUGUUAAUUAUUUUUUGUUCACUUUUCUCUCCUUAGAAAAUUAGUUUAAAGAGCACUUAGAAAUUAGCAAUAUCAUAUAUCAUGCCAGUUUUGCCCUUUGAUGCUUUAUGCUAUAAUUUUCUUUCUAGGCGUAAUCGUAUUGACUGUAAUACCACCAAUUUAACUUCUAUAUCUAGGGAUAGACAUGUUCAUAAAUAGGGUGAUGGAAUUUUAAUUUUCUAUUGAACUAUACCAAGUUUGCUACGAACAUAGUUUUAAAUAGCAUGAAUAUCAUAUUUAAUUUGUUUUUUAGUACAAAAGCACUUAAUUUUUUACCCAAAAAAUUAAGAAACAUGGAUGCCAAAUCACUAUCAUUUGUUUAAUAAAUGAAUACAAUAAGAAGAAACUUACUCAAAGUAAUGAAAGAGAGAAGAAGCAGGACUUGAUAAGAGUAAUGAAAGUAAAACAAAUGUCUAGAGACUAGUCAGAUACACUGAAAACUUUUUUUUUUGUUGUAUGCUGAAUUAAUUGCCAAAAUUAAUUUCUUUUUACAAAUUUAAUUAGUGAUGAUUAUCUUAUCUUUCUUUACCUGAUCUUGUAUAUUAAACGAGUUAACCUCAUACUUUGUGACAACAGAACAACGACAAUGAUAAUUAUAACGAGCCUUCUGAUAAUAAUUAUGCAGUGACCAAAAUCCAAAGCACUACAAUGUCUUCAACUAAGCAGUAGGUCACUCAAAGAACUAUGACUACUUCUACUUCUUAUAUGUACAAGAAUGAAAUAACAGAACUAAUGGUUCUUCUUUUAAUUCUGCUCAAUCAAAGGUACACAUAAAAAAUUAAAUUUUAUAUUUUAAUUUGUUAAUGGACUUGAAUUGUAGUUUCAGUUCUCAGUUAUUAUCUAG